CUCCCAAUAAACAUAAUAUGAUAUUCAUCAUAGUCUGAAAGUUAUCCCAGCCCCCAAUACAGCAAUCCACAGAAAAAUAUCCCACUGACCCAGCGAAGUCCUGGUUAGCAAUGACAUCAUGGACGAGCACAAAAGGAUUGCACAUUAGCCAAUAGGAAGCUGAUUCAGCCCAAUUCCCGCCUGCUGUCUCUCUCCUGCGUUACUUUACUGGCAGACAGCCCCAUGCACCUACCUUACAGCAGAAGAAUGUUGUAAAUUUCAUAAACCACUAGUGGCCCCAGGUCAAUUGUCAUCCAGCCCUUUUUAAAUGAAAAUCGAAACCUUCUCUCUUUGGAAUCUGACUUU